rnacentral:rRNA from 1 species
UACGUAGGGGGCGAGCGUUGUCCGAAGUUAUCGUGGGCGUAAAGGCGCGCGUAGGCGGGUUGGCGAAGUCUCGCUGUGAAAGCCCGGAGCUUAACUCCGGAGGGUCGGUGGAUACUGCCAGUCUUGAAGUGGGCUAGGGGGAGAUGGAAUUACCGGUGUAGCGGUGAAAUGCGUAGAGAUCGGUAGGAACACCAGUGGCGAAAGGCGGUCUCCUGGGAGCUGGCUUGACGCUGAUGCGCGAAACUGGGGGGAGCGAACGGG